rnacentral:rRNA from 1 species
AUUGAACGCUGGCGGAAUGCUUUACACAUGCAAGUCGAACGGUAGAGGGGGCAACCCCUCGAGAGUGGCGAACGGGUGAGUAAUAUAUCGGAACGUGCCCAGUCGUGGGGGAUAACGCAGCGAAAGUUACGCUAAUACCGCAUACGAUCUAAGGAUGAAAGCGGGGGAUCGCAAGACCUCGCGCGAUUGGAGCGGCCGAUAUCAGAUUAGGUAGUUGGUGGGGUAAAGGCUCACCAAGCCAACGAUCUGUAGCUGGUCUGAGAGGACGACCAGCCACACUGGAACUGAGACACGGUCCAGACCCCUACGGGAGGCAGCAGUGGGGAAUUUUGGACAAUGGACGCAAGUCUGAUCCAGCCAUUCCGCGUGCAGGAUGAAGGCCCUCGGGUUGUAAACUGCUUUUGUACGGAACGAAAAGGUCUCUCUUAAUACGGGGGACUCAUGACGGUACCGUAAGAAUAAGCACCGGCUAACUACGUGCCAGCAGCCGCAGUAA